rnacentral:rRNA from 1 species
AUACGGAGGAUCCGAGCGUUAUCCGGAUUUAUUGGGUUUAAAGGGUGCGCAGGCGGGAGAUUAAGUCGGCGGUGAAAUUUUGAAGCUCAACUGUAAAAGUGCCUUCGAAACUGGUUUCCUUGAGUGUAGAUGAAGUAGGCGGAAUUUGUGGUGUAGCGGUGAAAUGCAUAGAUAUCACGAGGAACUCCGAUUGCGCAGGCAGCUUACUAAACUACUACUGACGCUCAGGCACGAAGGCGUGGGGAUCAAACAGGAUUAGAUACCCUGGUAGUCCACGCAGUAAACGAUGAUUACUAGCUGUUUGCGAUACAAUGUAAGCGGCUGAGCGAAAGUGUUAAGUAAUCCACCUGGGGAGUACGUUCGCAAGAAUGAAACUCAAAUGAAUUGACGGGG